rnacentral:rRNA from 1 species
CCUACGGGGGGCAGCAGUGAGGAAUAUUGGUCAAUGGACGAGAGUCUGAACCAGCCAAGUAGCGUGAAGGAUGACUGCCCUAUGGGUUGUAAACUUCUUUUAUAUGGGAAUAAAAUGUUCCACGUGUGGGAUUUUGUAUGUACCAUAUGAAUAAGGAUCGGCUAACUCCGUGCCAGCAGCCGCGGUAAUACGGAGGAUCCGAGCGUUAUCCGGAUUUAUUGGGUUUAAAGGGAGCGUAGGUGGAUUGUUAAGUCAGUUGUGAAAGUUUGCGGCUCAACCGUAAAAUUGCAGUUGAAACUGGCAGUCUUGAGUACAGUAGAGGUGGGCGGAAUUCGUGGUGUAGCGGUGAAAUGCAUAGAUAUCACGAAGAACUCCGAUUGCGAAGGCAGUUCACUGGACUGCAACUGACACUGAGGCUCGAAAGUGUGGGUAUCAAACAGGAUUAGAUACCCGGGUAGUC